CACCUCUUUCAUGCCUUCAUGGAUGGUUAAACUGCUCAAGGGCGUCGUGUUGUCUUCUGUAUUCUAUCAACAGACUACAGCGGUUACCUCUCAUCCGAUCAAGCUGAUUAGGAAAUCAUCAUUUGGUCAAAUCAAAGUCAUUAAAACUAAAACGACAGUAAUCUUUUUCUUCCUAGAGAAUCACCGAAAUAAAACGUUUCCUUCUUCACGUUUCCCGUAAAAGGAAAAACGUUUUGACAGAGCCGACCCUAGCGGAAAGUGGUUUCACGUGCAUUCCUCUAUCUCCCCCUUUCGCUUUCGCUUUCAUUUCAUUUCUUUCAUAUUUCAUACCCUUGCUUCAAGAAUUCUGCUGUGACAGUGAAGACCAAAAGAGAAGCUAGCCAUGGAACCCCCUCCAACACAGUCUAUUGAAAUUUCCAGCCAAAACUUCCAAGCUGGGAAUGAUGAUCCACAGGACAAGGCCAUCAAUGAGUGUUGUUCUUGCUGCUAUGAUUGCACAGGAGGCUGCCUCGAUUACUUGUUCUAAAACUUCUGUUGAAUUCUUCAAUAGGAUUACCAUGUAUUAUGGGAAUGCCUCCUUUUGUAAUUCGUGCUUGUAUUAUGGGAAUUUAGCAAGGAAAAAUUUGUGUUUUUAGAGCACUUUUGAGA